AACUGUUCUGUAAAAAUGAAGUUCAUUAUCGGGCUUAUUUGUGCUCUUUUUUUAGCUGAAAGCGCGUACGAAGCUAGGAUUCCUCCAUGCACUAACUUUGGAUGCAAUUGGGACGAAGGUGCAUAAGUAUGUACAUUUUAAUUUACAAUUUGCUGCAAAUCAUAAUAAAAAGCAAGUAACAAUUGUGGCUUAGCAAUAAGA